AUUGAACGCUGGCGGCAUGCUUUACACAUGCAAGUCGAGCGGCAGCGCGGGGGCAACCCUGGCGGCGAGCGGCGGACGGGUGAGUAAUGCAUCGGAACGUAUCCCGUAGUGGGGGGACAACCCAGCGAAAGCUGGGCUAAUACCGCAUAUGCUCUACGGAGGAAAGUGGGGGACCCGCAAGGGCCUCACGCUAUGGGAGCGGCCGAUGUCCGAUUAGCUAGUUGGUGGGGUAAAGGCCUACCAAGGCGACGAUCGGUAGCUGGUCUGAGAGGAUGAUCAGCCACACUGGGACUGAGACACGGUCCAGACUCCUACGGGAGGCAGCAGUGGGGAAUCUUGCGCAAUGGGCGAAAGCCUGACGCAGCGACGCCGCGUGAGUGAUGAAGGCCUCGGGUUGUAAAGCUCUGUGGAGGGAGGACGGAAUAAGGGUUGGCGUAAUAUCCAGCUCGAUGACGGUAGUCCCUUUAGUCAAGCACCGGCUAACUCUGUGCCAGCA
rnacentral:rRNA from 1 species